CCAAUGACGAAAACUACGCACUAGCAGCUUAAAAAUCUCUUAGGAGAAAUUUAAACCUGCUUAUCCCGGGGCGGAUGUGCCCAUGUAUCCAAACCGGGAGCUCGACUCAUGGGACCGCUGCCAAGCCCCGCUUGUGACGGAAGCAGUUAAACUUAAAGCAAGCUCGCCUUUCUAAUCCCUGUUCGCCGGGCCAGUGGAAGGUUAAAUAAUAGACGAAAUAAGCAUGUAGAGCCGAAGGCGGAGAACUGACGGACGCGGGUUCGAUUCCCGCCGCCUCCACCA
rnacentral:tmRNA from 1 species